rnacentral:rRNA from 1 species
UAGGGAAUAUUAGAAAUGGACGAAAGCCCGAUGCAGCAACGCCGCGUGCGCGAUGAAGGCCUUCGGGUCGUAAAGCGCUUUUUAGAGGGAUGAGGAAGGACAGUACCUCUAGAAUAAGUCUCGGCUAACUACGUGCCAGCAGCCGCGGUAAAACGUAGGAGGCAGGCGUUAUUCGGAUUUACUGGGCGUAAAGCGCGUGCAGGCGGUUUGGUAAGUUGGAUGUGAAAGCUCCUGGCUCAACUGGGAGAGGUCGUUCAAUACUACCAGACUAGAGGGCGGUAGAGGAAGGUGGAAUUCCGGGUGUAGUGGUGAAAUGCGUAGAUAUCCGGAGGAACACCAGUGGCGAAAGCGGCCUUCUGGACCGAUCCUGACGCUCAGACGCGAAAGCUAGGGUAGCAAACGG